rnacentral:tRNA from 1 species
UGUAGCUCAAUGGUAAAGUGUGUGCUUUGCAAGCAUGAGGCCCUGGGUUCCAUCCCCAGCA